rnacentral:lncRNA from 1 species
UGGGAUAUGGACACCGGAGCCUUUACGAGUGGCUAGAGACAAAUGUCGCGAAAAUAUUUUUGGGGACGUAUUGUUUGGUCCAUCAUGCGGUACUCACUCCGAAGUGCUUAUUUGUUUCCCCCCCUCUUAAUAUAAGAAGAAUCAUUCAUGGUCCAUCACAAUGAAAUGUUUGUAUACCAGCUAUUUCAGUCUACAUGAAAAUUGCCGGUUCGUUGCAACCGG